rnacentral:rRNA from 1 species
GACGAACGCUGGCGGCGCGCUUAACACAUGCAAGUCGAGCGAGAACCUGGCUUCGGCCAGGGGAAAGCGGCGAACGGGUGAGUAUCACGUGAGUUAUCCACCCUCGGUACCGGGAUAGCCCGAGGAAACUCGGAUUAAUACCGGAUGGCCCAACAGCUCUUCGGGGCGGUUGGAAAAGGUAGCUUCGGCCUCCGACCGGGGACGAGCUCGCGGCGGAUUAGCUUGUUGGUGGGGUAAAGGCCUACCAAGGCAACGAUCCGAGCUGGUCUGAGAGGACGAUCAGCCACACUGGGACUGAGACACGGCCCAGACUCCUACGGGAGGCAGCAGUGGGGAAGUCUUGCGCAAUGGGCGAAAGCCUGACGCAGCGACGCCGCGU